UACGUAGGGGGCAAGCGUUGUCCGGAUUUAUUGGGCGUAAAGAGCGUGUAGGCGGCUAGAUAGGUCCGUUGUGAAAACUCGAGGCUCAACCUCGAGACGUCGAUGGAAACCAUCUGGCUAGAGUCCGGAAGAGGAGAGUGGAAUUCCCGGUGUAGUGGUGAAAUGCGUAGAGAUCGGGAGGAAACACCAGUGGCGAAGGCGGCUCGCUGGGCCGGACCUGACGCUGAGGCGGCGAAAGGCGUGGGGAGCGAACGGG
rnacentral:rRNA from 1 species